rnacentral:lncRNA from 1 species
AGGAAGAAGAAAAGAAUGCAAGGGUUUAGUAAUUAUUGGCAACGCUUCUAAGUGGACCAGGACCAUAAACCAUUCGUCACACAUUGCACUUACCAUGACCCCUCUCCCCUUUCCGUGA